rnacentral:rRNA from 1 species
UGGUGGUUGUUGCGAGGAGUCUGAACCCGAUCCCAUCCCGAACUCGGCCGUUAAACUCCUCAGCGCCGAUGGUACUAUGUCUCAAGACCUGGGAGAGUAGGUCGCUGCCAGGCC